GAAUGUGAGAGUGAUCUGGCUGGAAUAUUGGUGUCCCCAUUGAUCACCAGUGUUGAUUCUGCUGAUAUGGCUAGGAAGGCUAGCUCCUCCUUCUUUCCUUACUUCCCAUGUUUGCAUCACCACGCCAAAGUUGUGUGCUCUCUGGCAUAUGAGGACCAAUCUUUGGUCAAAGGUGUAACUAUGUUCCCCUGUUAGAACCUCCAAACAAGAUGUCAACAUUUUGGAAUAUACUCUAAAAGUAUAAAUAAUUCUUUUAUGGAAAUAGAAGUUUGUUGUUCCCUGUUUU
ensembl:misc_RNA 7SK 7SK RNA